GUGGGGAAUAUUGGACAAUGGGCGAAAGCCUGAUCCAGCAAUGCCGCGUGAGUGAUGAAGGCCUUAGGGUUGUAAAGCUCUUUUACCCGGGAUGAUAAUGACAGUACCGGGAGAAUAAGCUCCGGCUAACUCCGUGCCAGCAGCCGCGGUAAUACGGAGGGAGCUAGCGUUGUUCGGAAUUACUGGGCGUAAAGCGCACGUAGGCGGCUUUGUAAGUUAGAGGUGAAAGCCUGGAGCUUAACUCCAGAACUGCCUUUAAGACUGCAUCGCUUGAAUCCAGGAGAGGUGAGUGGAAUUCCGAGUGUAGAGGUGAAACUCGUAGAUAUUCGGAAGAACACCAGUGGCGAAGGCGGCUCACUGGACUGGUAUUGACGCUGAGGUGCGAAAGCGUGGGGAGCAAACAGGAUUAGAUACCCGAGUAGUCC
rnacentral:rRNA from 1 species